CCUACGGGAGGCUGCAGUGGGGAAUAUUGGACAAUGGGGACAACCCUGAUCCAGCCAUGCCGCGUGUGUGAAGAAGGCCCUCGGGUUGUAAAGCACUUUCAGUGAGGAAGAACGCCUGGUGGUUAAUACCCAUCAGGAAAGACAUCACUCACAGAAGAAGCACCGGCUAACUCCGUGCCAGCAGCCGCGGUAAUACGGAGGGUGCGAGCGUUAAUCGGAAUUACUGGGCGUAAAGCGCGCGUAGGUGGCUUGAUAAGCCGGUUGUGAAAGCCCCGGGCUCAACCUGGGAACGGCAUCCGGAACUGUCAAGCUAGAGUGCAGGAGAGGAAGGUAGAAUUCCCGGUGUAGAGGUGAAAUGCGUAGAGAUCGGGAGGAAUACCAGUGGCGAAGGCGGCCUUCUGGACUGACACUGACACUGAGGUGCGAAAGCGUGGGUAGCAAACAGGAUUAGAUACCCUAGUAGUC
rnacentral:rRNA from 1 species